rnacentral:rRNA from 1 species
AUUGAACGCUGGCGGCAGGCCUAACACAUGCAAGUCGAACGAGUGGCGGACGGGUGAGUAAUGUCUGGGAAACUGCCUGUUGGAGGGGGAUAACUACUGGAAACGGUCGCUAAUACCGCAUACCAUCGGAUGUGCCCAGAUGGGAUUAGCUAGUAGGUGGGGUAAAGGGUCACCUAGGCGACGAUCCCUAGCUGGUCUGAGAGGAUGACGAGGGAAACGGGAACUGAGACACGGUCCAGACUACUACGGGAGGCAGCAGUGGGGAAUAGUGCACAAGGGGCGAAAGGCUGAUGAAGCCAUGCCGCGUGUAUGAAGAAGGGAUUCGGGUUGUAAAGUACUUUCAGCGGGGAGGCGUUACCGGCAGAAGAAGCACCGGCAAACUACGUGCCAGCCGCCGCGGUAAUUC